GAUGCAUCUGAGCUUCAGGAGAGAAAGAUGCGGGGCAGAGGUGGUGAGAGGAAGAGGAGAUUUCCAGGAAGGGAGAGGAGCCCAGUACUGAGAAUGGAUGGGAGAGGAGAGGAAGAGGGUGGAGUGGGCUCUGCCCCACAACCCCCCCAGAGCCCUGGCUCAGACACCUUCCUCCAGGCCCAGGGGCCCUCUAGCCUCCACUGCCCUGGCCCUAGACUGCUCACCUGCUCUGCCCUCUACCCUCCUGUGACAGCAGGGAAACCGAGACCUGGAGAGGGAGGUGGCAUCCAGAUUUGGGCCCCUUUGCCCCCUUGUAAGUUCCCCUGCUUCUCCCUGAACCCCACAGGCUUAGGGAGCCCAAAUGGCUACAGAUCUGGUAAAGCUGGUGGCAGGGUGCUUGGGGAGGGUGGCACACUGGCUCCCAGCUGCUCCGGCACCCUGGGCUCAACAUCUCACUUCUCCCACAGUCUAUGGCCCCCACAGUGGCCUGGGAGCAGGAUUCGUGGUCAGGCAUGGGCUGGGAACCCAGCCAGGUGAGAGCUGUGGGGUCCCCUCCUUCCCUCCCUCCCAGGCCUCAGAGGGAAGGGGCAGGAUUGGAGAGUGAUUGUUGGGAGGAAGUGCAGGGAGCCUCUCAGGUUUGCUGGUGUCUGGCUUAGUCCAAGGAGGGGUUCAAGGGUCUUGUACCCCCACCUCAGCUGGGACCCCAAACCUCCUCAGCUCACCUCUCCCUCUCCCACGAGCCCUUCCACUCAGAAUGGCUACAGAGCAGGUAAAGGUGGGAGUGGGGGAGCUGGAAGCCAGGAUUCUAGGGGUAUCCCUGGGAUGGGGAUUCCUGAGCCCCUCAUCUGAUCCCCCUCUCUUUCCCAGACACUGAAGGGGGCAUGAAACCCCAAAACCUAGGUGAGGCUCGCCCAGCCCCUGCCUGCCUCCCUCUUCCUAACUCCCUCCUGCCUUCUCGCCCCAGGGUUCAGGAUCUUCCCAGGUGCUGCAGCCCAGCCAGGAUAUGGAAACGGGCUGGGAGCAGCGGCCUUCCCAGUGGCCGGAGCCCAGCCAGGAAUGGGGAGCAGAAGUGGUUUGGGUGUUGGCACUCUUCCAGGGACAGGAACCCCACCAGGACACAACAAUGGAAACGGACCGGGAACCCAGCCAGGUCAGGGCCGAAGGGGCUGGGGUGGCUGGGGGAGAGGUCAGGGGCCCAGGGCCACACUCUGGGUCCCAACAGAUGGGCUCUUGGGGGUUCAUUCAUUCACCCAAUCUCCCCUGAGCACCCGUCCCAAGCCAGGCCUCUGCUGGCUACGGAGGACACCCAAGCUGGUCAGCGGUGGCCACGGUCUGGACUCCCAGGCCAAGAACCAAAUCCAACUUCGACUGCAGUCAGGCCUGGGAGGGAAUUCACACAAGACAGAAAGGGAGAGGGCAGGGGUCACGAGAGACAGAAAGGGAGAGGGCAGGGCUCCAGGCUGCAGCUCAUUCCCACUGCACUACCAUCCACACUCCUGUGUCUGCCCUCAAACAGGUCCUGCCGCUCAAAAUGGCUUUGGACCAGGUAAAGAGGGUGGGGACGGAAGCGGGGAGCCUGGGGCUGAGAUUCUGGGCACAGGCCCAGAGGAAAGGAUCCCUCACCCUCUCAUCUUCCCCCCAGGCUUUGGAGGGGGUGGAAAACCCCAGAAGCCAGGUGAGCCACACCCUGUCCCUGUCUCCCUGCCCAUUUCCUAUGCAUCCGCCGCUGCUUCCCUAGAGUCCCUGAUCUCCCCAUUCUCUUUGGCUCUGUCUCCUGGGAUUUGGGAAUAGGAAUGGGUGGGGAGUCGGGGCCUUCCUGGGAGCUGGAACCCAGGCAGGUGAGGCCCUGGAGUUCUGGGAGCAUGGAGGUCUUGGGGGUUGGGGGUUACUGAUGUGGGGGCCUGGUCCUGGUCCUGAGCAGAGAGGAAGGGAUGGGUGGACUCACAGGAAGUCUUUCCCCUUCUCUUCCCAGGCCUGGGAGGGGAACUAAAGCCUCAGAGAGCAGGCGAGCCCCAACCUCUAGCCUCCCAACUUGGUCUCACACAACAAACCUCAUUCAACAAACCAAUCCAGGCCUGGAGCAGUGGCUAAGACCUGUAAUCCCAACUGUUCGGGAGGCAGAGUUAGGUGGAUAAAUUGAGCCCAAGAGUUCAAGACCAGCCUGGGCAACAUUCCCAAGCUGGUCUUGAACUCUUGGGCUCAAGCAAUCCAUCUAC
rnacentral:sRNA from 1 species